GAUGAACGCUGACAGAAUGCUUAACACAUGCAAGUCAACUUGAACUUCGGUUUGGGUGGCGGACGGGUGAGUAACGCGUAGAGAACUUGCCUCACAGCUAGGGACAACAUUUGGAAACGAAUGCUAAUACCUGAUAUUAUGAUUUUAGGGCAUCCUAGAAUUAUGAAAGCUAUAUGCGCUGUGAGAGAGCUUUGCGUCCCAUUAGCUAGUUGGAGAGGUAACGGCUCACCAAGGCGAUGAUGGGUAGCCGGCCUGAGAGGGUGAACAGCCACAAGGGGACUGAGACACGGCCCUUACUCCUACGGGAGGCAGCAGUGGGGAAUAUUGGACAAUGGACCAAGAGUCUGAUCCAGCAAUUCUGUGUGCACGAUGAAGUUUUUCGGAAUGUAAAGUGCUUUCAGUUGGGAAGAAAAAAAUGACGGUACCAACAGAAGAAGUGACGGCUAAAUACGUG
rnacentral:rRNA from 1 species